AUGAUAGGGUCAUUGGUUUCGCUUUGUGUGUUGUUUUUUGGACUGUUAGUUACGAAUGAUAAUGAAGCUAGACGUGGUUAUUUUAGUUACAGCCUAAAAAUUUGAAUCUGAUGACGGUGGCACACACAUUAUUCCAAAUAAUGAUUUGUUAAAAAGCUAUUUCAAAUGGAAUGGUGAAGAGAGACCUAUUGAUCAAGAUCACACAUUCAUGUGGAAAUUUAACUUGGAGUCCCUAAAGACGAGCAGCAUGAGCCUUAGACUCUGUGAUGCUAGCAGCUUCACUUUUGAGAUCAAUCCGCUUGAUUUUGACUUUCGGUGGCCAAAUUACGACUCAGUUGUGGGAGAGUUCAAAUCAGUUGUCACAAUAAAAGAAUGCGGCAUAUGCCCUCUUUAUAGAAGCGGAAGCAAUGUUACAGAGUCUUGAAGGGAAACAAAGGAAGAUAGGAAGAGGAAGGCAGAAAGCUACUUAGUGUUCUGCUAAUUGAUCUUCCGUUGGUGGGUUCGUUCAGACAAGAUUUGUAAGUUAUUGUUAGAUAUAGUUUGAUUUGUAAGUUAUUGUUAGAUAUAGUUUGAUUUGGACGUAAGUUGAGUUGCUCCGUUGUCCCAAAGUUACAUUUUCUUGAAACUCUUCAUUUUAAUUUCUUUAGCAUAUUUUGGCUUUCAUUUGCAGCGAAGGCAUUAUGAAAUCUUGAGGAGCUGCAUUUGCAAGGGUAAUUCGUAAAUGGGAAAAUGUUUCUGCCAAUUGAAUAUCAUAUCAUUGUAUUUGGAUUGUGCAUGGAGCUGUAAAACCAUAAAAUUGUUUAUUGGUUAACUUGGAUGACUGAAGAUGAUAAGAAGUUAUUUGUUGUUGUUCUUCGUUUAUUCACUUUGAGACACCUUGUUUCAUUUGAGCAGUGACUUAUAAAAGCUACUAGAGUGUGAUGGUUAAUUCUUUAUAAUUGUAGUUAGACAGUAAAGUCGAAGACAGUUUAUUUGAAUUUAUAAUUAUUUGGAUA